rnacentral:rRNA from 1 species
AUUGAACGCUGGCGGCAGGCCUAACACAUGCAAGUCGAGCGGAUGAGAGGAGCUUGCUCCUUGAUUCAGCGGCGGACGGGUGAGUAAUGCCUAGGAAUCUGCCUGGUAGUGGGGGACAACAGUUGGAAACGACUGCUAAUACCGCAUACGUCCUACGGGAGAAAGCAGGGGACCUUCGGGCCUUGCGCUAUCAGAUGAGCCUAGGUCGGAUUAGCUAGUUGGUGAGGUAAAGGCUCACCAAGGCGACGAUCCGUAACUGGUCUGAGAGGAUGAUCAGUCACACUGGAACUGAGACACGGUCCAGACUCCUACGGGAGGCAGCAGUGGGGAAUAUUGGACAAUGGGCGAAAGCCUGAUCCAGCCAUGCCGCGUGUGUGAAGAAGGUCUUCGGAUUGUAAAGCACUUUAAGUUGGGAGGAAGGGCAGUAAGUUAAUAACUUGCUGUUUUGACGUUACCGACAGAAUAAGCACCGGCUAACUUCGUGCCAGCAGCCGCGGUAAAAC